rnacentral:rRNA from 1 species
UACGUAGGGUGCAAGCGUUGUCCGGAAUUAUUGGGCGUAAAGAGCUCGUAGGCGGUUUGUUGCGUCGGCUGUGAAAUCCCGAGGCUCAACCUCGGGUCUGCAGUCGAUACGAGCAAACUAGAGUGUUGCAGGGGAGACUGGAAUUCCUGGUGUAGCGGUGAAAUGCGUUGAUAUCAGGAGGAACACCCAUGGCGAAGGCAGCAAACUGGGCAUCAUCUGACGCUGAGGCGCGAAAGCGUGGGUAGCAAACAGG